rnacentral:ncRNA from 1 species
CAAAGAUUUGGUCCUAGCCUUACUGUUACUUUUUGCUAAACUUACACAUGCAAGUAUGCAAGUAUCGGCACGCCCAGUGAAUUGCCCUAACAGUCAAGCAGACAGAUGAGCCUGGUAUCAGGCACCCCAUGAUAGCCCAAACACCUAGCCUCGCCACACCCCCAAGGGUAUUCAGCAGUGAUAAAACUAAGCAAUAAGCACAAGCUUGACUUAGUUACAGCAAACAGAGUUGGUCAAUCUUGUGCCAGCCACCGCGGUUAUACAAGAAACUCAAACUAACAAAAAAUCGGCGUAAAAUGUGACUAAAACAUCAAUCUAAAAAAUUAAGGUAAAUCCCCCCACUCAACUGUCAUACGUAAAAGUAUACAUCAGCCCACUAUGAAAAUAACCUUAAUGCAAUAGAACCAUUUGAACCCACGAUCGCUAAGACACAAACUGGGAUUAGAUACCCCACUAUGCUUAGCCUUAAACUUAGAUAUUUAAUACACAAAAAUAUCCGCCAGAGAACUACGAGCAAAACGCUUAAAACUCUAAGGACUUGGCGGUACCUCAAACCCACCUAGAGGAGCCUGUUCUAUAAUCGAUAACCCACGAUUCACCUCACCAUCUCUUGCCAAUACCGCCUAUAUACCACCGUCACCAGCUUACCCCAUGAGGGGUGCAAAAGUAGGCAAAAUAACUAAACAGUUAACAAGUCAGGUCAAGGUGUAGCUAAUUGAAAUGGAAGAAAUGGGCUACAUUUUCUACACUAGAAAUUAAUUUACGGAAAGGAACUGUGAAACAAGUCCCAUAAGUAGGAUUUAGCAGUAAACUAGGAUUAGAGUGCCUAAUUUAAGCUGGCCCCGAGGUGCGCACACACCGCCCGUCACCCUCCUCAAAUAACUCAACAACAAUAAAUAAACCAAUAACAAAUAUAACUAGAUGAGGCAAGUCGUAACAAGGUAAGUACACCGGAAGGUGUACUUGGAACAUU